AAAUUGAAGAGUUUGAUCAUGGCUCAGAUUGAACGCUGGCGGCAGGCCUAACACAUGCAAGUCGAACGGUAACAGGAAGCAGCUUGCUGCUUUGCUGACGAGUGGCGGACGGGUGAGUAAUGUCUGGGAAACUGCCUGAUGGAGGGGGAUAACUACUGGAAACGGUAGCUAAUACCGCAUAACGUCGCAAGACCAAAGAGGGGGACCUUCGGGCCUCUUGCCAUCGGAUGUGCCCAGAUGGGAUUAGCUUGUUGGUGGGGUAACGGCUCACCAAGGCGACGAUCCCUAGCUGGUCUGAGAGGAUGACCAGCCACACUGGAACUGAGACACGGUCCAGACUCCUACGGGAGGCAGCAGUGGGGAAUAUUGCACAAUGGGCGCAAGCCUGAUGCAGCCAUGCCG
rnacentral:rRNA from 1 species